CAAAGUCUCCCUGCUAUGGGGUGGGAAAGAAGGACCAGGUCUGCAGACUCUGACGCUAGCCCUCCCUCGGAAUCCCUCUUGCAGAGUUUAGGGAUGGCCUGGCCAGAAGGUGGCUGGGAAGGCACCAGGGAGAAGAGAGCCCCCGCCUCAGCUGAGGGAGGGAGAACAGCAAGAGAAAGAAAGAGAGAGGCAAGCGAAAUUCCUGAAUGGAUAGACAGAUGCUACGUCAUCGGAGCUGCAUCCUCCACUCCACAAGAGGCUAGGAGCCGGGAGAGAGAGGCAGUCCAGCAGCAGGGGCCACCGAGCAGUCUCUCUUCCUCCCAGAAGCCAGGAGCUGGGCAUCCAGGAAGAAGCAGCCUCCUUUGUUUCUGGUGUCAUCGUAGGUGGCCACCUUUGGCUUUUGGGCUUCUCACCUGGGGCGGGUGGGUGCUCCACCACCCUCCCGCCCUCUUUCCUCCACACGUGUGCCAGAGCCACAUCCAGCACCACGGACAGCUCCCGGGCGGUGAGUGAGAUGGCUAUGCUGACCCCCUUUGGGAGGGUUAGGAGGGCGUCCUCCUAUCUGCACCGUCAGCUAUCAAAAACUCCAGAUUUUUUAAUCUGUGGGAGUUAUUUGCAGGCAGCUGUGGAGUCUCAGGGAGAGGAAAAGGCUGAGGGCAGUUGACAUUGCAUUUCCAGGAAACUGGGUUUGUCCUCAUUGGGGAGUUGGGAUGAGAGGGGCCUCUCCAGCAGUAGGAAGGAUGAAGGUUAGACUCAGGGAGUAUUCAACCUAAGUUCAUGCAAGACACAGACUGUACCAAUCAGGUAAAGGUAAAAUGAACCUUAGAUAGCAUCAGCCCUAUAGCCCUCAUUUUACAGAUCCCAAGAGAGUGGAAGAGGUGUGACCAAGGUCACUCAGCUGCUUAGUGGAAAUGCCAAGACCCAGGCUCCUGAAUUCCAGCCUGGUCCUGCCUAUUCUGCCUGGUACUUCUUUAGGGGUCUCCCUGCCUGAGUUGGGUGGAGCAGGUAGAGAGAGUUCACAGGUUGCCCCCAUACAAAAAAGGACAGGAUGCAUGUCUCAGCAUGUGAGGUGUCCACACAAGCCAAGAAGAGGUGGAACUGACUGCUAUCUCUGUCUGAGGAGGUUUGGAGAGGAGGCCUCAGGGAGAAGCACAGGGAGAGACAUACCUAGCAGUAGCUGGCAAGCCCACGGGAGAAAAGGCAAGGGGGCAGCCAUCUGCUAGGGCACAGAGGCCAGUGGAUGGCCACAAGGAGUCUCCAGAGGCCGGCAAGAGUCACACAAACUGGAACAGGGCCUGGGAAAGGCCCUUCUGUGUGCCCAGGCCUGCUCCCUCAACACCGUGAGCAGAGAAACAAAGGGGCCAUUCUCUCUAGGAUUUGAUGCCGCCAUCUCCGGCUGGCAGUGCCAGGUGGUGGGGGCAUCAGGGGGUGUCAAUCCAUUAUCCCCCCCUAACUCCUAGGUCCUCUGGGGCUUGAUGUUGGGGAGGUGGGUGUUCCAUGCUAUGUUGCCAUGGCAACCACCCCAACCCCCACUUUCCAAAGCACAAAGAGAGACAGCUUUCACCCCCACCCCCAGGAAGAACCUGGGUCUGGCUGGGAAUCUUCCCUUGGGAAUCCUCCUUUCUGAGGCACAAGCCAUGGCAUGCAUAAGCAUCACCUUUUCAGCACCCGGAGCUGAAGGUUCUGCCAUCAGCAGGCCAUACAAGCAGGGAGGCUGGUGCAUCCAGAGUCUCUGGGCAAGGUUGCUCAAGUGAGGUUGUGCAAGUGAGGACGAGUCCCUUGUACUUAACCCUCUCUCCCCACAAGCCCUCCUGUCCUUCACCUAUAGCCAAGGCCAACCUCAGCUCAACCGUCUCAGCUGAAGCAACGUGGCUUUGACCUUCUACUCUUUCCCAGAAGUGAGGGACAUCCUGCUACCCCUAGCAAGCCUCCAGGCUGUGGGAACAGAGAAGAGGAGGGGUCAUUCCUGCCAUCCUCCAUCUGCACCCUCCGCCAUUACUCAUUCGGCAUUCUGCCCCCUCCUUCCGCUCGUUAAGCCUGAUUUGCAUACAUUUGCAUAAUACAACUUAUUUGCAUUCCAGGAGGCUCAUGGUAGGAGCCAGGAAAAAAGGGGAGGGGGGUUGUAGAAGAGAGAAAAGGGGAGAAAUUUUGUUUUCAUCAAAGUGUGUGCGCGCGCGCGCACGCGUGUGUGUGUGUGUGUGUGUGUGUGUGUGUGUGUGUGUUGGGGGGGAGGUGGCAGGAAGAGGAUGGAAAUAAAAACUCACACUACUUUCUUUCUUCCCUUCUGCCCUCUCUCCCUCUGCUGGACUAAAGUGCCAAAGAGAGAUGCCAAGGGGCCGGCUUUUCUGUCCUUUUUUGUUUUGCUUCCUCUGGCCUUGGCUCCCCAGCCCGGCCCCCCACCUUGCUGGGCUCAGGCUUCAGAAAGAAAGAGGCAAGGGUAAGAGGCAAGGCUGUGGGAACGAAAGCAGAGGGAGACAGGGAGGCCGCCAUCUUAGGUAGCUGGCGCCUAUAAAAUGGCCGCCUCUCCAGAGCUGAGAGCUGGCCUGGUUGGUGGACGUGGAGGGAGGUGAGAUGUCAGGGCUUUAUGGCUGACCAGGAACAUUGUUGAGUCUUCCUACUAGUGAAACUGGGAAGAGAGGAUGGAGAGAGAAGGAAGGAGGGAGAGAUGAGGAAGGGGCAGCCCCCGAAGAGAUGUGAGCCUCACACAGGAGCAGCCGCGGUAGAGAGGCCUCCACGCUGGCCUUGGUUCCAGACCCCUCCAUGGAGAGAGAAGGAAGGAGGGAGAGAUGAGGAAGGGGCAGCCCCCGAAGAGAUGUGAGCCUCACACAGGAGCAGCCGCGGUAGAGAGGCCUCCACGCUGGCCUUGGUUCCAGACCCCUCCUGAGCGCCAAUGGUCAGAGGACUUGAAGGACUGGGGGUGACGCAAAAAAUACCGGAGGAAUCAGAACUGGGGGUGUCAGCAGGAGGAGGGAGAGGGUAAGGUGUGGGCAGGCAGGAUCAUCUGCCAGUUUAGGGUGGGGGUCUCUCUGGGGCCUGUGAAGGGCCACCAUGUACUUGAGGCGAAGCUCCAAGUCAUCUCUCCUCAGCCCUGCAGUCCGGCUUCCAUCUUCGUAACUCUGGUGACACUGUGCCCUCUCAGGCCGCUCAACCUCCUCGCUCGGACCCAACGGCCCUUGCUCAGGUCUGGUGACUUUUGUGGAACAUUUCAUGCUGAUGUCCAUCGUGUCUUCACCUUUGGCCUUUGGUUCUUCUGUGAUAUCCCUGAUUAUUCAUUCUGGGUUCUCUUCUCUCAGUCCGCUGGGUUGACCAGUCCUCCAGCCAAAAGUAUGUUCCCCAAGGUUCUACUGUCACCUUUGUUUUUUUCCUUCCUACUCACUUUCAUUCACUUUUAUCACCUCAGCCAUCAGCCAAAGUUAUAAACGCUCGUUCAUUUCUCUAGUCUUGGCUUCUUAUAAACUCCAGAUUGUACCCUAACUGCUACCUGUGGUCCUGCCAUUAGCUCCCAGGUCAGAGACUGGACUGGUGCAUCUGAUUGGCUAAGCCUAGACCCAACGCCCAGGCCCCAGCUGCAAGGAGGGCCAGGAAGGUACCUGUGCUUUUGGCUUCUGUAGUGGCAUGUAAGUGCAGCCUCCCUCCGAAACUCAUGAGGGGGUCAUUCCCCAGACAUAGGAAGGGCAUUCACAUGCUCCCUCACUCCGCAUUGGGCUUGAAGUCUUGCCCCGUGUUCCUGCUUCCCUGCCUCUAUGGGCGGCUUCAUUAAACUCCCAGGCCCUCAGGUGCAAAUCCUGAGCAUUAUCCGAUUUGCCCUCUUCCUUCCCCCGAUCCAAAUCAGUCACAUCGGAACCCACCACUUCCUCCUUUGUAGCACCUCUCAUGUUCAUACCUUCCUUUCCCUUAUCCCUACCUCCAUGUCAGCUCAUUCAUUCACUAGACAUUUAUUGAGUGCCUACUAUGUGCCAGGUGCUAUGCUGAAGAGGAAGGUGGAAUACAAAGCUUCUUUGAGGAGCUAACCGUCCAGCAGGGGAGGCAGACACACAAUUACAUGGCAUGUGGAGACUGCUGUCCUGAAGACGUGUGCAAAGUGCUGUGGGAGCAGGUGGGGAGGGAACUGUGGGCCACCUUGGGGGAGUUAAGGAAGGGUUCCUGGAGGGGGCCAAAAUGUUGGUGAUGAAAGAUAAAGGGAAUAAAAGUGAUAAAAGGUAAGCAAGGAGUUGUCAGUCUAAGGAGUUUGAGGAAGUGGGUGGUGGAGAGUGGACAGUGUACGUGAAAGCAAGGACGUAGGGAAGAGCAUGGUGCCUUAGGGGACUGGAACAUCCAUCAGAGGGAGUCUGGGCUGGGGGAGAUGGGAAGUGGAAGCAGAAAUUCCAUUAUUAAGAGCUUUAUCUGCUCCAUGAGGGAGGCUGCAUUUGAUGGGGAUUCUGAGAAGUUAGCUGACAGCCUCAGGGAUGCUGGGUGCAGGGUAUGGCUGCGACAAGGACACCCGCAUCUAGCUGCCCACUGAGCCCAGCACCCAACCAGACACUUAACUGGCUCUUGGCUAGUUCUGAAGAAAGGAAGGAACGUAUGAAAGGCCUGGAAGCCACCUGAGGAAGAGUCUCUGCCUCUCCCCCUCCAGAACCGCCCACGCCCCACAGGUACACACUGGGCAGGCUGGUGGGAGCCCUUUGGGGAGAAAUGUGGAGAAGCCAAGGUUGGUCCCCAGCACAGUGUCCCAACAUCAGGACAGGAGAUGGGCCACUGCGGACUGGAGUGAAGAAUAGAGAAGGGGGUUCAGUCCUGAAAACUUCCUGGAAGAGGGAGUGAGGGAAGGUGUAAGGGGUCAUCAAGGAGGGGGCCAAGGCUCCGGGGGGAUUCUUCCCAGAAAAAGGGAGUGAAAGGCUGGAGAGACAGCUGAAGAGAUGAUGAGGCGGCUGCUGGCCACUGGGGUGGAGUGUAAGGGGGCGGGGGGCGGUGCUGGCUACCGCCCCUCCCCCAGGCCCAGCGUCUGCACAAAGACCUCUCUGUGAAUGGCCAUGGAAGUGGCCCUGUCAGGUGAGGGGGCUUAGCUCCCGGGGGCCCACUGGGAGUGGUGGAAUGGGGUUGGAGGAGGGGAAGGCUGAGAGGAGGCCUCAAGCUUUAAGCAGGUUGGAGAAACAAAUAGAAGCUGAGACCUGGCCAGGGUCUCACAGUGAGGCCAAGGUAGAGCCAUUCCCAGGACAGGCCCCACAGGUCCCCAGCACCAAGGCCCUACUCCCGCCCUUCCCCCCCACAUUUCUUCCCAGCUAUAAACCCCAAUCCUGCCAGGCCUCUCCAGCCUUCCAUCUCCAGCCCAUACACGCCUUCCCAUGGUGCUUCUGGGGCUGACCCCACCCUGAACCUCUCUGAUCUUCCCAGCACAGGGACUGUUGGAGUCUGCCUCCAGGGAAGGCUGUGUUGGGAGGGUGGAAAGACAAGACUGACCAGAACCAAAAAGGAGCCCUGAGGCCACCUCAGUCUCCACACCCAGUCAUGUCCUCCCCAGGGGAGGUUUCUCUCCUUGCCUGGCCUCAGGGUCACUUACUGCUAAUCACAGUGUGGGUAGACAUUCUCCCCUACCUCCAACCCCUUGUUGUGCACACUGUCCCUUCUAAUAAAUGUUGGCUUUGGGGGUGCUGGAAGCAGAAUGACAUCAGUUACAGCCUCAGCUUGCAGGUUGCUCACAGAUUUGAUAGAGGGGCUCUGUCCACAGGAAGGACAACAAAAGGAAGGACAAUGAAGUUUUGGUUUUUGACUCUGGAAUCAGGCUGAUCAGGAUAUAAAUUCUGGCUUCCCUUUCUUACUACCUGGGUGACCAUAGGCAAACCACUUAAUGUGUUUAGAUCCUAACUUCCUUCCACGGUUGUCCUGAGGACCAAAUGGGUCAGUGUCAAUGAGAGUGCUUCGUAAGGCUGUGUGCAGAUGUCGUGUUAAUUCUAAAUGCUGAGGGACACAGAGGGGCCAUUGCAGGUAGGUGGGAACAAUCAGAGAAGGCUUCCAGGGUUUGGAAACGAGAGCAGGGAUUGCUGGAGAGGAGAGUGAAGGGAGUCUGGGUGCAAUCUAUGGUGGAGCCCUGUCUGAGAAGUGUGGCUGGGCUCCGGGGACGGGCUGGAGGACUGGCUGGAGCUCUCGUGGUCUCACGCAGGCCAGCAUCUUGCUAGACUGGUUUGGGAGGCAUUUGUUUUUAACAACUGGGUGGUAGACUCCAUGACCACAGCUUCUUCCAGCCUUCUCAGGAAGAACUUCCCGCUGGCCCUGUGCAAACACUGUCCAGCAAUCCUGAGAGGAGGAGAGGGAUGGAGCGAAGCUCGAGUUCCCCAUGUUGCCCUAGCCCACUUUGCUCCCUCCCUGCAGCCCUCAUGUCAUUGUUCUCCAGAGGGAGCACUAGCCAGACAUUGUGACCCUCCACUGAAUGUAUACAAAAUGGUACCUCCAAGCCCUGCCACUUAGGACCCUCAAGUGCCUGAUUUUAUGGUUCCUCCGCAUUGUGAGGAGGGAGCUAAAUUCAGACUUAUUUAGAUCCCUCGGCCCAUAAGCCAGGGAGACUUUGAGCACGAGGGUCUCUUGUCUCUAAGCGGUCAUUCCUUGUUGUACAAGAAAGAGUCAGGAGGAGGAAUGGUUUUGGCAUCAUCCCCCACAGGUAACAGUGGAGCCUUUAAGCCUGGAGGGAAGGACCAGGCUGAGGCUGGCAUAUGGAGGGAGAGCCCUGGGCACGGGGAGCAUGAGCUUCACCCGGCUGGGGCUACCUUCUGCUGGGUUUGUCCAUCUGGCACCAGCUGGCUUCCCAGCACCGCCCCCGCAACCAACCAGACUCCUUCUUCUGCUGUUGCCAUGGCAAUUGGCUGCCAUCUUGUACUCGGGGCACUACCUCAUAUCUGGAUUUUUCCCGUGGGGUUCCUGGAUGAUGGGAGAUAGGUCUCCAGGGAUGUAUCCUUUCCUCCUGAUAUUCAUCCAAUAAAAAUUCAUAUUAAUGUGAUUUUUAAAAAUAGCCAAAUUGGGGGCUGGCCCCGUGGCCGAGUGGUUAAGUUCGCGCGCUCCACUGCAGGCGGCCCAGUGUUUCGUUAGUUUGAAUCCUGGGUGCGGACAUGGCACUGCUCAUCAGACCACGCUGAGGCAGCAUCCCACAUGCCACGACUAGAAGAACCCACAACGAAGAAUACACAACUAUGUACCGGGGGGCUUUGGGGAGAAAAAGGAAAAAAAAAAAAAAUCUUUAGAAAAAAAAAAAGUAGCCAAAUUGGAGGCUUGCUAUGUGUCAGGCUCUGUCCUCAGUGUAUUUAAUUUGGCUAAGAAAGCAUUAAUGAGAUGAAAUUUAAGAGGUUCCCACUCAGUUUCCUGUUUCUAUGACAGACUUUUCCUCUCUCCAACCAGGAAAUUCCAUGAUCUUUCUUAUUCCUGUCUUGGGAAGUCCUUCCCAAUGUCUAACCAAGAUCUGUACUGCUGAAGCACCAGUUCUUUGACCCUUGGCUUGACAUGGUUAAUUUGAGAGGCACAGCUUCCCUCUACCCCAGGAAGGAAGAAACUGACUUUGAUUUGGCACCCACUUGCUUGUGUAAGCCCUUUCUUAGCCAUUAUCUCAGUUAAUCUUCCAACAGUCCUGAAAACUGGUGAUGCUGUCCCCACUUUACAAAGGCAGAAUCAGCCCCAAGAAGGACAUACCAAAAAGAAGAACCUACUUCACCCUUUGGCCUAGGUUCCCUCUGAGAAGCCUUCCUGGAUUGACUGAAAGAUGUGGCUAAACUCUAGCAAGUUGACCAGCUCCUCCAAGAAGCCUCUGAGCAGGCCAGAAGUAGGCACGCCCUAGCAACCAGCCUGGCAGCCCACUACACCCGGAGCCGCCUGGGAUAAGACUUUGCUUCACUGUUGCUCCCGUGUCCACAGGCUGUCCAUCCCGGCCCAUCUUGGUUUCUCCUUUGUCAUCUGAGCUGAGAUUCUCUGAGAUGGAAGACCCAUCUCGUGUCUAAUAAAGACUCUUGAAUGUUGAACAACAGUACUAGUGGUAGUGGAUGUACCUGCGCAGGGUUGGGAGGGGAGGGACUGACAGAGAGGAGGGCAGUACGGGGCUUCCUCUAAGAGACCAGUGCAUGGAAGCCACCUUUGCCACAGAAGGGGGAAGCCUCGCUAAGAACUCCCACCUGUAGGGGUGGGGUGAGGAGUAAAGAUCUCCUUGGCUCCUUCCACCUCUCUCAGCCACCCCAGAACACCUGGGAACGCCAUCCAUGAUCAGGUCAGUCCCAACUCAGCACAACGGGCUGGUGCUCCCAGCCAAGGAGGCCCCAGGUGCCAUCCCAAAGACCAAGACAAUGGGAUUGGGUGGGGUUGCUCCCCCAGAGUGCCUGUGUGGGAGGUCACUGGGUGGCCCUCUAUCUCCUCCACGAAGGGACCCUUCCUCAGAAAUGUCCUCCUGGGUUUGAACAGACAACAGGGAAAGAGCACCCCUGUCCCACAAAGUCACCCACUCCUGCUUCCUCUGUCCUCACUAGAGACAGAAGGGAAUGAAUAUGCCUAGCAAGAGGGAUUCAGGUUACACGGCAGGUAGGACUUCCCAACAAGACCUGGGAGGGACCCUCAGGGGUCAGGGGAACCACAGUCAGAAGGAGCUGGGACUGUGCUCUUGACCCCAUUUUCCCCCCUAACACAUCUGUAUCCAACAUGCUCCCCUCAAAGACAGUUCCCUCUCGUGCUGUAGGGAGCUCCUGCUGGAAAGUGUGAGCCGAGUCCAGAUGGCUGGCACCUCUUAAGCUCUCUGCCACCCUCUAAAACG
rnacentral:lncRNA from 1 species